CCGGCGAAAGUCGGAUUAAUACCCCAUAAAACAGGGGUCCCGCAUGGGAAUAUUUGUUAAAGAUUCAUCGCUGAUAGAUAGGCAUGCGUUCCAUUAGGCAGUUGGCGGGGUAACGGCCCACCAAACCGACGAUGGAUAGGGGUUCUGAGAGGAAGGUCCCCCACAUUGGUACUGAGACACGGACCAAACUCCUACGGGAGGCAGCAGUGAGGAAUAUUGGUCAAUGGCCGAGAGGCUGAACCAGCCAAGUCGCGUGAAGGAAGAAGGAUCUAUGGUUUGUAAACUUCUUUUAUAGGGGAAUAAAGUGGAGGACGUGUCCUUUUUUGUAUGUACCCUAUGAAUAAGCAUCGGCUAACUCCGUGCCAGCAGCCGCGGUAAUACGGAGGAUGCGAGCGUUAUCCGGAUUUAUUGGGUUUAAAGGGUGCGUAGGUGGUGAUUUAAGUCAGCGGUGAAAGUUUGUGGCUCAACCAUAAAAUUGCCGUUGAAACUGGGUUACUUGAGUGUGUUUGAGGUAGGCGGAAUGCGUGGUGUAGCGGUGAAAUGCAUAGAUAUCACGCAGAACUCCGAUUGCGAAGGC
rnacentral:rRNA from 1 species